CUUGGUCAUUUAGAGGAAGUAAAAGUCGUAACAAGGUUUCCGUAGGUGAACCUGCGGAAGGAUCAUUACCGAGUUUUCGAGCUCCGGCUCGACUCUCCCACCCUUUGUGAACGUACCUCUGUUGCUUUGGCGGCUCCGGCCGCCAAAGGACCUUCAAACUCCAGUCAGUAAACGCAGACGUCUGAUAAACAAGUUAAUAAACUAAAACUUUCAACAACGGAUCUCUUGGUUCUGGCAUCGAUGAAGAACGCAGCGAAAUGCGAUAAGUAAUGUGAAUUGCAGAAUUCAGUGAAUCAUCGAAUCUUUGAACGCACAUUGCGCCCCUUGGUAUUCCGGGGGGCAUGCCUGUUCGAGCGUCAUUACAACCCUCAAGCUCUGCUUGGAAUUGGGCACCGUCCUCACUGCGGACGCGCCUCAAAGACCUCGGCGGUGGCUGUUCAGCCCUCAAGCGUAGUAGAAUACACCUCGCUUUGGAGCGGUUGGCGUCGCCCGCCGGACGAACCUUCUGAACUUUUCUCAAGGUUGACCUCGGAUCAGGUAGGGAUACCCGCUGAACUUAAGCAUAUCAAUAAGCGGAG
rnacentral:rRNA from 1 species